UACGGAGGGUGCUAGCGUUGUCCGGAAUCACUGGGCGUAAAGGGCGCGUAGGCGGCCGUGUAAGUCACUUGUGAAAUCCCGGGGCUCAACUCCGGGGCUGCAGGUGAGACUGCGUGGCUAGAGUUUGGUAGAGGCGAGUGGAAUUCCCGGUGUAGCGGUGGAAUGCGUAGAUAUCGGGAAGAACACCGGUGGCGAAGGCGGCUCGCUGGGCCAAUGCUGACGCUGAGGCGCGAAAGCGUGGGGAGCAAACAGG
rnacentral:rRNA from 1 species